AUGCCUGACCUCCUGAAAAGCUUUUCUGUCGCAUCUUAUCCACAAUUUUUAGCUAAAAGAAAGGGAGGGAGGAGGAGGGAGUUUCUCAUCACCCACAGCACUCAUUUGGAAUUCCAACAUAUAUAUAAUCAACCGACAAUGCGCAUAAUAACAACCUUAAAUCCAGAGGAAACUAGGAACUAUAUCUAUUUCUACUAUUCAAUUCAAAUAGAAUACACAAUUUUCAACUGCAUGCAUCAAAAUAUCACUCCCUCAUGCAUGUAUAUUCACUCAGUGAAUGGAGCAUCCUACUGGUGUUCCAUUGGUAUCCAUGUUUGCAAAGGCAAGAAAGCCAGUUGCUACAAAAAACGAUUUUAA